UUGACAUUGAGGGCCAGAAGCAUGUCCCUUGACCUGUCCGCUGCGAUUGGCAUGGAUUUGGCCUUCACUGGUAGCCUGGUAACAUACACUCCCAGGUCUUUCUCUGCCUCUGUGGUGGAUAGUGGAGUGUUUCCCAUGUGGUAUUGGUGUGCUGGAUAUCCCUUCACUGGUAGCCUGGUAACAUACACUCCCAGGUCUUUCUCUGCCUCUGUGGUGGAUAGUGGAGUGUUUCCCAUGUGGUAUUGGUGUGCUGGAUAUCCCUUCACUGGUAGCCUGGUAACAUACACUCCCAGGUCUUUCUCUGCCUCUGUGGUGGAUAGUGGAGUGUUUCCCAUGUGGUAUUGGUGUGCUGGAUAUCCCUUCACUGGUAGCCUGGUAACAUACACUCCCAGGUCUUUCUCUGCCUCUGUGGUGGAUAGUGGAGUGUUUCCCAUGUGGUAUUGGUGUGCUGGAUAUCCCUUCACUGGUAGCCUGGUAACAUACACUCCCAGGUCUUUCUCUGCCUCUGUGGUGGAUAGUGGAGUGUUUCCCAUGUGGUAUUGGUGUGCUGGAUAUCCCUUCACUGGUAGCCUGGUAACAUACACUCCCAGGUCUUUCUCUGCCUCUGUGGUGGAUAGUGGAGUGUUUCCCAUGUGGUAUUGGUGUGCUGGAUAUCCCCUCCUAAGGUGCAGGACUACAUUUUUCUUCACUAAAUUGUAGCAGCCACUUUUUGCUCCAUUCCUGUAGCUUGGUGAUGUCUGCUUGUAGGAAAUCUGCAGUCAAGGGGUCAACCUCAGCUGCCUUUUGUAUGUGUGAUGUACCCAUUUUAGCCUCUGCCUCCUGUGUGAUAGAAGGUCUUUGUGCCCAUUCUAGUCAACACCUCAUGUAUUCCUUUUAAAUGAUUUCUCGUGGGUUGUGGUUGUAUCAUGUUUCCAGUUUAGCGUUUAUGAUAUAGCUAUGGGGGAAAGACUACUACUACUACUAUUACUACU